rnacentral:lncRNA from 1 species
CCUGAAAAUAAACAGCCGCUGCUUUGCGAGUCUCCUUCUUGGGUCUACGUCCGAGUCUCCUCUGCUGUGGGCAGCUCAGACGCCGAAGCUCUAACUGCAGCUAUGAGCAGCAACGAAUGCUUCAAGUGUGGACGAUCUGGCCACUGGGCCAGGGAAUGCCCUACUGGUGGAGGUCGGGGUCGUGGAAUGAGAAGCCGCGGCAGAGGUGGUUUUACCUCGGAUAGAGGGUUCCAGUUUGUUUCCUCGUCUCUUCCUGACAUCUGUUAUCGCUGUGGUGAGUCUGGUCAUCUUGCCAAGGAUUGUGAUCUUCAGGAGGAUGGUAAGUGUUUAACACUUGACACUCUUGAGAGGUGAGUGUGUCCCUACACACAGCUUUGUAAGGUGUCCUAGCUUUGAGGGUUGUAGCAUGUGGUAUACAUACUAUUCUAUAAAGGUUUUAUAG